CGUAACAAGGUCUCCGUUGGUGAACCAGCGGAGGGAUCAUUACUGAGUUACCGCUCUAUAACCCUUUGUGAACAUACCUAACUGUUGCUUCGGCGGGCAGGGGGUGCCGCCUGCGGACCCCCCUCCCGGCCCUGCCCUCACGGGCGGAGCGCCCGCCGGAGGAUACCAAACUCUAUUUUAACGACGUUUCUUCUGAGUGGCACAAGCAAAUAAUUAAAACUUUCAACAACGGAUCUCUUGGUUCUGGCAUCGAUGAAGAACGCAGCGAAAUGCGAUAAGUAAUGUGAAUUGCAGAAUUCAGUGAAUCAUCGAAUCUUUGAACGCACAUUGCGCCCGCCAGCAUUCUGGCGGGCAUGCCUGUUCGAGCGUCAUUUCAACCCUCAAGCUCUGCUUGGUGUUGGGGCCCUACGGUUGACGUAGGCCCUUAAAGGUAGUGGCGGACCCUCUCGGAGCCUCCUUUGCGUAGUAACUAACGUCUCGCACUGGGAUUCGGAGGGACUCUUGCCGUAAAACCCCCAAAUUUUUAAAGGUUGACCUCGGAUCAGGUAGGAAUACCCGCUGAACUUAAGCAUAUCAAUAG
rnacentral:rRNA from 1 species